CUCAGUUUCUUUUUAUCUGAGAAACCGUUGCUAAUGUCUCCUUUAAUUAUUGUCUGAUUUCCAAGAGAAUGAAAGGUGUUACAUCUCAUAGCAUUUCACAUGUGUUGGUAAAUGUUAAUUACAUCUAGUGAAAGCAGUGCUAGGACUGGAAAUUUGUUGUCCUAAGAUCAGCCUGGCUGCAAAAGUGGUUUUCAGGAGAUGGAAAUAUCUGGCAGCCCAUUUGAGGGAACAUGUUUUAAAAAGUGUAAAUAAGACCCCAAAUAAGAUCCCCUAUAUCCAAAGCUCCGAGGGAGAGAGAAGUGCCAUGAAGCAUGAAAGCCAUGAGUUCUUCAAAGAUUUCUCCCCUUCUCAGCAGUGGAAUGACGGAUGUGCGGUAUUUUACAGGAGCAAGAUGUUCGAGCAUCUUGGAUUUGACUUAAAAAUGCAUUGGCGUUUUCUGUGUUACAGAGUGUAAUGAAACAAAGCAACACUCCUAUCACCAGAGUGCUACAGGUUUCUGAGGGGUGUGCAGAAGAAAUGCAGUACUGAAAUGAGUGAAGGAAGAAUAUGCAGCGUGUAAACAGAGCAAAGCAAUGCAGAGAUUUAGGAACUUGCUGUCUUUUUUUGUAGCCUUAUUGUUUUGCAGUUGAGGCUGAAGAAAAUGAUAUUUUUAUAAGAAUAAUUCUAAUCCAAGAAAGCUAAAGAAUAGUAAAGAAAAAUACCAAAAGCAGAAAUGGCAUAAGUCCUGAGGUUAUGUUUAACCUUUUUGGAGACUUACUCAUCUUCUACAUGACUGUACAGCCAAGUCCUAAAACAUGAACAGUGACAAUGAAUAUUUUGUGCAUUGUUCUCUGAUCCUGUCAAUUAGAAUUUCGCACAUUCCAUGGAUCUGUUGUCUCGAUUCACUCCUGGUUUUGAACUUUUUCAGUUCACGUGCUUCCUUACUUUACAAGUUCUGAACUCCUGAUGAAUGGCUUGUAACCUUUCAAGCAUCCCUUUGAAGUACCCACUGAAGCAGAGGGGAAGCAAGAGUGGUGUUUCAAACAUACUUACAAGCUGGCACUUGUUGAGAACACCAAACCCGAACUGCCUUUGGAAAAUUAAUCAACAGAAUUUUAUGAAGAGAAGGAAAACCAGAAAAAGUUGUCCAAAGUACUUUUAUGAAGAAUUAUAAAUCUCCAGAUUUCUCAGCCAUAGCAAAAUACAAUCAAGAAAGAAUUUUGUGCUCAGCUGCUGUUAAGCAUUCCAAGCUGCACAGUUAAAGCAGCACUCAAAAUUAACCUGUGGACACAUUGACAGUGAUAAGUGUAAUGAACUCUCAGCAGAAAACACGGCUAGGUAAGUAGAUUAUUGCACUGUGUGCCGUUUUCGAUAUCAGAAUACUGGUCUGUUUGAGGAGUAGCACUACAAGAAGUCAUGGAAUGUGGAUAUCUCAGCUGAAGUUUAAGGGAAUUACUGCUUUUUCUAUUUUUUUCUGAUAAAAAUGUGUGCUUCUACUUCAUGAUUGUAUGUUCCUUAAUAUGACACAUUGACAUUUAAAUUACAC
rnacentral:lncRNA from 1 species